CUACAAUCCCAUCCAGCUCCAGCCCUGGUAGGGAAGAGAAAACUAUUUUAAGCAAAAGGAUCAGUCCAUAAUAUAUACUGGAGAAGGAAUACGAUUUGGUAUACGAAGAAAGGCUAGAAGUCUCCAAAAGAACUCAGAAAGGGGCAAGAUCAAUGAAGGCUAGAGAAGUUCUAUAAUUGGAUAAGGCUUCUUUGAGGAUGUGUAACUGGAUUUGGAUCCUGAAAAAUGGGAAAGAUGUAGAUAUGCAGAGAAGAGGCUCCACGCCCAGCAUGGAGUCCAAUGCACAACUUGCACCUACCCUGACUAGAGAUCAAGACCUAAGCUGAGAUCAAAACCGUCAAGUUUUUGCAACUGAGCAAGUUCUCGAAAUGUACCCAACAGUGUGUUAAAGCAAGACCAGAUCCCGGAUUUUAGCCUUCAUCACAGCAUCUUUCUACCACAAUCUGCUACUCACCAUGAUUUUUAAAAGCCCUCAAUCUUAUCCUACUUCAAUUUCAUUAUUUACAGACAAUAAAUCUUUGUGAAUGCCUUAUUUUUUCAUGAAGAACUCUACUGUCCUCUUUUCUAAAGAGUGAAGGAGAAGUCAUUGCUCUGUACACCUUAAACUGAUACA